CUAAGUAGAAAUCAGAUAACCACCAUUGCAGACAACGCCUUUAAUGGAUUGCCAAAUUUACAGACACUAUACCUAUAUUCCAACAAGAUAACCACCAUUUCAGACAACACCUUUAAUGGAAUGCCAAAUUUACAGACACUAUACCUAUAUUCCAACAAGAUAACCACCAUUUCAGACAACACCUUUAAUGGAAUGCCAAAUUUACA